CAGGCUGUGAAAACACUUCAGGCCAGUCCCUGAGUAGGAAUGGACAACAAGGUGGUCACCAUGCUGACAGCUAUUCCCUGUGUGAUUUACUUUAUUAUGAAGUCUAAAUUUGAUGCUGAAGUGCUAGCCUAAGCUCACUAACCUGCCAACUUAGAGAAGAAGGUAACCAUGGCUAGGAUGACUGGGAAUCUGAUGGACUCAAUUAAGAAUUUCUACAGAUGGGAAAACCAAAACUCCUUAGUGGCAAGAGGCCAAAGAUGGUCAGCGAAUUGUUGUUUCCGGCUGUUGGAAGUUGACUGCAGUUGAAUAACAGAACAAAAACGGAGCUUCAAAAUCAUGGCGUGCCUGCUUCUUCUGGGUUCUUUUAACUGCAAGCAAUCAGCUUUGAAGAGCACCUCAAGAAUAACAUUUACAUAUGAAAGAAAAUAGGAGAUGGCUCAGAAUAAUAUGUCCAAGGCCACGCCCAGGCGUCAGGGAUUCAUGAAUUUUGUAUACAGUGUAUGAUGUUUCUAGAUUAAAAUAUUUUCAAAGGUAA
ensembl:lncRNA SPATA42 spermatogenesis associated 42